UAAAAGAAACGGGAUCAGCUGCCUCCCACUCACACAAUUCACAAAAAACAAUCCGUGGCAGGCUAGGGUUUCUGCCGUCUCGGCAGAAAAAAAAUCCUCUUCCUCGCUUCUCCGUUGCUUUUUCUGGGGUGGAAGGUAGAUCCAUCAUGGAUGCUGAUUUUUAUGGUCAAUUGCUAUCAAUAUUGAUAUUAAUCUAAAGGAUUUCAAUGAAUCAAGCGAUGGCUGGUAGAGGUCGUGCACCUCGCAAUAUUAAUGAUGGGCGGAGAGGUUAUCCUGCAAUGCCGGAAGGGCCAUUUGUUCGUGGCCCUGUCCCUCGUCCACCCCAUCCUGCUCUGUAUGAGGAACUUGAGAUGCAGCGGAAUGAAAUCCGGAGGCUUUUGGCAAACCAUCAUGGUUUGGCUGAAGAACGUGCUGCUAUGCAGCAGGAACUAAUGGCUGCAAAGGAAGAGAUUCAUCGCAUGAAUAUGGUCAUGGCGGAUAUCCGUGCUGAUAAAGAGGUCCAUUGCAGAGAGCUGAUUGAGAAAGGCUUGAAGCUAGAGGCUGAUCUUAGAGCGACUGAGCCUUUAAGAAAUGAAUUAGUGCAGCUUCGAGCAGAAAUUCAAAAACUGAAUGUCUUGAGACAGGACCUUGUUGGUCAGGUCCAGACUCUCCAGCAAGAAUUGACAAGGGCAAAAAGUGAUAACAAACAGAUCCCUGUUUUGAAGAGUGAGAUUGAUGGUCUGAGCCAGGAACUUAUGCGAGCUAGGAGUGCUUUCGAGUAUGAGAAAAAGGGAAAUCUUGAUCUAAUGGAACAAAGGCAAAUAAUGGAGAAAAAUUUGGUGUCCAUGGCACGUGAAAUUGAAAAGCUGCGUGCUGACUUGGCAAGCAUUGAUGGGAGGCCAUGGGGUGCAGGUGGAGCCUAUGGGAUGAAUGUUGGUAGUCCUGAUGGACCUUUCCCUUCGUCGUUUGGGGAUAACUACAACCGUCAUUCGGAAGUUGCUGGCAAGGCCCCUAUGUAUGGUGGGGGUUCUGGUCCGCGUGGAGCAUUUGACAAGUCUCGCCCUGGACGUCGUUGAGACUGAGAGUUGAAUUGUCCUCCAAAAUACUCAUGGGUGCCCUUUAGUUUACUCAUGGUGGUUAUAUAUAAGGCUAAAGGCCAUCCGUAUGAAUUGAGGGAUGCCUUCUUUCCUUGAGAAGGUAGAAAUUAGAUCUAACUUAAAAAUCAAGGGGAAUUAGAAAGCAAAACAAGUGCAGCAGUUUUUAUCGAUCCUUGAUGGGUGUGGUAAUUCCUUCCAUGAUGUGCUCACAGGGGAGAGAAAUUGGAAUUGUAUGAUCGGGGGAGGUGCAAUGAGUUUUUUUUGUUGGAGACGCAAAAUCCAGAUACUUCAUACAUAGAAUGAACCAACAUCAUGUGAAGGGUGAUUUGCGAUACUCCAAGAUCUUGGAGUUGUGCGAUCUCUACUUGGCAGACAUGGCAGAUGUGGAUCACAAAUUGUUCCAUGAACUUGCUGGCUGGUUCAUUGAAGCAGAAACGAAUUAAACAGGACCCAAAAGGUAUAAUGGAAGGCUGUUCUUUUUGCUUGCAGGAUGUAGGAGUCGCAAAUGAGAUGGUUUUUACUCUGGUUGUCAAUCCAAAGAAAGUUGUUCUUGGUGUUGUUGUUCUGGGUGCCUCCCACGGGCAAAAUGUCUCUUGCAUGAGACCUGCAAAGUGCCUUUCCUGUUUGUAUGGUGCUGUUCCGUGUUGACAUUGAAAGUAUAACCAUGUUUCUUACGUGGAUCUCUCACAAGAUUAGAACAAAACUUUGUGGAAGUAUGGAAUAGUGAGAAGUGAUACGUGCCUGCAAUUUCCAACU